rnacentral:tRNA from 1 species
GCCUCUUUAGUUUACUUGGUAAAACAUCGGCUUUGUAAUCCGAAGAACAGUGUUCGAAUCACUGAAGAGGCACCA